rnacentral:piRNA from 1 species
UGGUGUAGUGCACGACAUCAGUGAUGUGAUG